UUUCGCAAGUGUCACUUUAUAUGUCAAAAGUCCAAUUUUUUAAUAAUACUGAAGCUGACUUUUUCAAAACAGACCCCACAUAACCUCGUCCUCCAGACCAUCGACGCUUGUUUAAAGCCACUGACGACACUACCGUCGAUGAAAAAUUCGAAAGCUUCAAAUGCGAACCAGCCUCAUUCGAAUCAUCGUAUUGCCAAAUUAUGGUCUGCUAUAUUGUGCGUGUGUAAUUGUGUGCGAUUAAUGUGGGUUGCUUUCUGGAAUUUCGACAUGGAUGGACUAAAUUUUGUUCUCGAUUUCUGAUGAUACGUAGUGAAGUUGCGCAUAGUGAGAACAAAAAUUGUCGACAGUCAAAACAUGAAUUAUGUCCAAGGAAAUGAAUUGUGAGAACUAUAAAUCAAGAUUUAAAAAAUCGAUAAUUUUUAAAUGUAA